CACCACUUUUAGGGACGCACCUCAUUGUUCUGAGCAAGCUCUUUCUUCCAUCAUCACCUCUCAUCUAGUUCCAUGGUCUCCCGGGAGCUCCAGACAGUGACAAAAGGCCACUUCGUGUGGUCUAGGAAGUCCUUUCCAUGUUGAACCCAUGAAAGGCUUACCACGUUUGAACUAGUUCUGAUGGGGGUAGGACAGAGUCCACGCUUCCUCACCCCUGUCUACAAGCACACGCCAUGCCUCCAGCCACAACCGCAGGACUCAUGGACUCCACUCAGAGUCAGACUGGUCUAAUGGCAAGAAGCAACGAACUAGGAAUGGGGAAGAUGCUAAAGCAGGUUAUACAGUUCCUGACAUGCAGAAAAUGAUCAAUAGAGGCUACAUCUAGUCCUUCCUCUUCGUGGUUAGCCUGGCGUAGAAAAGUGCUUCCGCAUCGACUCUGGGAAGUAGCAGCGCGGAGGGUUACCUGUAGGUUGUAUCAACACUCAGGUUGGCUGCAGCUAACUCUGA